AGACGGAGGGUGCAAACGUUGUUCGGAAUUACUGGGCAUAAAGCGCACGUAGGCGGCUAGGUCAGUCCGUUGUGAAAGCCCUCGGCUCAACCGGGGAACUGCAAUGGAUACUGCCUGGCUCGAGGACGGUUGGGGUGAGUGGAACUCCUGGUGGAGCGGUGAAAUGCGUAGAUAUCAGGAGGAACACCAGUGGCGAAAGCGGCUCACUGGACCGUAUCUGACGCUGAGGUGCGAAAGCUAGGGUAGCGAACGGGAUUAGAAACCCCGGUAGUCC
rnacentral:rRNA from 1 species